rnacentral:rRNA from 1 species
UACGGAGGGUGCAAACGUUGCUCGGAAUCAUUGGGCGUAAAGCGCACGUAGGUGGCGUGUUAAGUCGGGUGUGAAAUCCCUGGGCUCAACCCAGGAAGUGCACUCGAUACUGGCACGCUUGAGUACUGAAGAGGGUCGCGGAAUUCCCGGUGUAGAGGUGAAAUUCGUAGAUAUCGGGAGGAACACCAGUGGCGAAGGCGGCGACCUGGGCAGAUACUGACACUGAGGUGCGAAAGCGUGGGGAGCAAACAGG